CUGGUGGCGAGCGGCGGACGGGUGAGUAAUGCAUAGGAAUCUGCCCGGUAGUGGGGGAUAACGUGGGGAAACCCACGCUAAUACCGCAUACGUCCUACGGGAGAAAGCGGAGGAUCUUCGGACUUCGCGCUAUCGGAUGAGCCUAUGUCGGAUUAGCUAGUUGGUAAGGUAACGGCUUACCAAGGCGACGAUCCGUAGCUGGUCUGAGAGGAUGAUCAGCCACACUGGGACUGAGACACGGCCCAGACUCCUACGGGAGGCAGCAGUGGGGAAUAUUGGACAAUGGGCGAAAGCCUGAUCCAGCCAUGCCGCGUGUGUGAAGAAGGCUUUCGGGUUGUAAAGCACUUUCAGCGAGGAAGAAAGCCUCUGGGUUAAUACCCCAGAGGAAGGACAUCACUCGCAGAAGAAGCACCGGCUAACUCCGUGCCAGCAGCCGCGGUAAUACGGAGGGUGCGAGCGUUAAUCGGAAUUACUGGGCGUAAAGCGCGCGUAGGUGGCUUGGCACGCCGGUUGUGAAAGCCCCGGGCUCAACCUGGGAACUGCAUCCGGAACGGCCAGGCUAGAGUGCAGGAGAGGAAGGUAGAAUUCCCGGUGUAGCGGUGAAAUGCGUAGAGA
rnacentral:rRNA from 1 species